rnacentral:tRNA from 1 species
AAGGCUUUAGCUUAAUCAAAGUGUCUGUUUUGCAUACAGUAGAUGUGGGGUAAUAACCUGCAAGUCUUA